UGACUGCGAGCGUGACGGCGCGAGCAGGUGCGAAAGCAGGUCAUAGUGAUCCGGUGGUUCUGAAUGGAAGGGCCAUCGCUCAACGGAUAAAAGGUACUCCGGGGAUAACAGGCUGAUACCGCCCAAGAGUUCAUAUCGACGGCGGUGUUUGGCACCUCGAUGUCGGCUCAUCACAUCCUGGGGCUGAAGUAGGUCCCAAGGGUAUGGCUGUUCGCCAUUUAAAGUGGUACGCGAGCUGGGUUUAGAACGUCGUGAGACAGUUCGGUCCCUAUCUGCCGUGGGCGCUGGAGAACUGAGGGGGGCUGCUCCUAGUACGAGAGGACCGGAGUGGACGCAUCACUGGUGUUCGGGUUGUCAUGCCAAUGGCACUGCCCGGUAGCUAAAUGCGGAAGAGAUAAGUGCUGAAAGCAUCUAAGCACGAAACUUGCCCCGAGAUGAGUUCUCCCUGAGACUUAGAGUCUCCUGAAGGAACGUUGAAGACGACGACGUUGAUAGGCCGGGUGUGUAAGCGCAGCGAUGCGUUGAGCUAACCGGUACUAAUGAACCGUGAGGCUUAACCUUACAACGCCGAAG
rnacentral:rRNA from 1 species